UCCGUAGGUGAACCUGCGGCAAGGAUCAUUCGCGCGAAAUGUUUUCCGUUAAUCGUUUGCGGGAGUGGGCGCUGGUUUAACUGCCAUUUCCACUCUCCGUUUUUACGGUACCAAAUAUUCAACCUUGGAUGCUUGCAUCCUCUGGCAAUCCUUGAUUGCUAAACUUUAGUAUUCUUUGCAGCGGUGAAUGUCUUGGCUCGAGUAGUGAUGAAGGACGUAGCGAACUGCGAUACGCAUUGUGAAUUGCGGAAUUCAGUGAAUCAACAGAAAGUUGAAAGCAUGCGGUACCUUCACCUCGGUGAAGGUUUCCCUGGAUCGGUGUUUUAGUUUCUUGUACGUUGUUCGGUUACCCCGGGCGAUGGUGAGCUGCGUGCUAACUUCUCAUCAGUUGGCAUGUGAAUUCAUGUUUACCGACUUCGCAGCCCAUUGCGAUUUGGAUUAUUCUGUUUUGCAGAGGGCUAGUGAGUAGGUGACAAUUUGAUGUCAUGUGUACCAUGACGCUUCUCCAUAUUAAACCCGAUCUCAGAGACGACCACCCGCUGAAUUUAAGCAUAUCAAUAAGCGGAGGAA
rnacentral:rRNA from 1 species